UGCACAAAAGUACUGUUUUAAAAGUUUAAAUUAUCUGGAGUCCAAGAACGGAUUAAUCCAUUUUACAUUAAUUCUUAUGGGGAAAAUAGUUUCAGUUUACGAACAUUUCAAUUUAUAAACGAUCAUCAGGACGAAUUAAUUUCUUGACCUAGAUUUGAACCAGGAUCCUCCAGGAAGGUAAGCCUCAGCUUUAUCAUUCGGCCGACUAAUUUGCUAAGAGAAAAUCUAGUAUGCUAAUGCAAUAUUCCAAUAAAUGCUACACGGAUUUCAUCGACGUGACAUUUAUGAAAUGUGGAAGACUAUGUAAAAAAUGAAUGACGUUUUUACUUCAUAUACAAUUUCUAAUAUUCGACUUAAAACAAUUCAUAUUCUUUCAUAUUUUGUUCAUCCUACUGUUUCUGCGUUUCCCACUAACAACUUUUUCUUAAAUUCCGUUACAGACAACAUAUUUUCAUCCUGCAUAUCAGCCAUGCACAGAUCGCCUUCCUCUGUCGAUUUGUUGGAGGCGGGCCUCACCACCUGUUACUUUAACAAGUCACGCAAUCGAAGAAAUAUUAUUUGUACUUUUGAACAAUGAAUUUUCAGAUAACUGUUUUGAUUUGAAAUCAUUUUUACGAUGGUUUGAUGAUAAUGUUUUUAAACAAUGAGGAGAAAACGAUAAUCGUAUUUUUGUAAUAAUAAACAUGUUUUUAUUUUACUGUCUUUAUGUGCGCUACAUAGGUAUUUAAAAAAAUGUACUCGCUCAGAAGGUAACGCUGCGCAUAAAUAAUGACAAUUUACAACUAAUUUUGCCUUUUGCUACUACGAAUAUCGAACCUAAUAAGAAAAAAUUGUUAGAUGAAUGCUGUGCCACGCAUCCCGUUAAAAAUUUUUUUUUGCUUUACGUUUCUUUGAAAUAUAUGUAAUUUAUAAACAGGAUAUGAUAUAAAAUUUUCAUGGUUUUUUGCUGGCCCUCCUAUAAAUCACGGUGAAUCAACGCGGCUCUUGGCCUUAACAAGUCUGUUCAUCCCUGUUCUACAGAAAAUCAUUUAAAAUUCCUUCAUCUGCAUUGUAGAGUGGAACAUACGGAAGGAAAUUAAGAGAUUAGUUUUAUCAGAAUUUAAUUAAUGAAUAAAUAUUUUAUUUCAAUCAUAAAAUCGUGUAUUUGAAG
rnacentral:lncRNA from 1 species